rnacentral:rRNA from 1 species
UACGGAGGGUGCAAGCGUUAUCCGGAUUCACUGGGUUUAAAGGGUGCGUAGGAGGGCAGGUAAGUCAGUGGUGAAAUCUCCAAGCUUAACUUGGAAACUGCCGUUGAUACUAUCUGUCUUGAAUACCGUGGAGGUGAGCGGAAUAUGUCAUGUAGCGGUGAAAUGCUUAGAUAUGACAUAGAACACCAAUUGCGAAGGCAGCUCGCUACACGAAUAUUGACUCUGAGGCACGAAAGCGUGGGUAGCAAACAGG